CGGGAUGAGCUGUGCCUAGGGGUGAAAGGCCAAUCAAAUCUGCUGAUAGCUGGUUCUCCGCGAAAUCUAUUUAGGUAGAGCGUCAGAUGAAUACUCCAGGGGGUAGAGCACUGGAUGGGCUAUGGGGACUCACCGUCUUACUGAUCCUAACCAAACUCCGAAUACCGGGGAGUACUAGAUGGCAGACACACAGCGGAUGCUAACGUCCGUUGUGGAGAGGGAAACAACCCUGACCUACAGCUAAGGCCCCCAAUUCAUGGCUAAGUGGGAAAGCAGGUGGGACGACCAAAACAACCAGGAGGUUGGCUUAGAAGCAGCCA
rnacentral:rRNA from 1 species